UAAAGAAAGCGUAAUAGCUCACUGGUCGAGUCGGCCUGCGCGGAAGAUGUAACGGGGCUAAACCAUGCACCGAAGCUGCGGCAGCGACACUAUGUGUUGUUGGGUAGGGGAGCGUUCUGUAAGCCUGUGAAGGUGUACUGUGAGGUAUGCUGGAGGUAUCAGAAGUGCGAAUGCUGACAUAAGUAACGAUAAAGCGGGUGAAAAGCCCGCUCGCCGGAA
rnacentral:rRNA from 1 species